UACGGGGGGGGCAAGCGUUGUUCGGAAUUACUGGGCGUAAAGGGCUCGUAGGCGGCCAACUAAGUCAGACGUGAAAUCCCUCGGCUUAACCGGGGAACUGCGUCUGAUACCGGAUGGCUUGAGUUUGGGAGAGGGAUGCGGAAUUCCAGGUGUAGCGGUGAAAUGCGUAGAUAUCGAGAGGAACACCUGCGGCGAAGGCGGGUAGCUGGGCCGACACUGACGCUGAGGCGCGAAAGCCAGGGGAGCGAACGGG
rnacentral:rRNA from 1 species